rnacentral:rRNA from 1 species
GAUGAACGCUAGCGACAGGCUUAACACAUGCAAGUCGAGGGGCAGCAUGAAGUAGCAAUACUUUGAUGGCGACCGGCGCACGGGUGAGUAACGCGUAUGCAACCUACCUGAUACAGAGGGAUAGCCCAUGGAAACGUGGAUUAACACCUCAUAGUUUAGUUGCCUGACCAGACUAUGAAAGCUCCGGCGAUGAAGGAUGGGGAUGCGUUCCAUUAGGUAGUAGGCGGGGUAACGGCCCACCUAGCCAACGAUGGAUAGGGGUUCUGAGAGGAAGGUCCCCCCANACUGGAACUGAGACACGGUCCAGACUCCUACGGGAGCAGCAGUGAGGAAUAUUCGGGUCAAUGGUCGGAAGACUGAACCAGCCAAGUAGCGUGAAGGAUGAAGGUUC